rnacentral:misc_RNA from 2 species
CCCAACUAUCCCUAUUAAUCAUUACGUCGAUCCUAGAAACCAACAAAAUAGGGUCAAACGUCCUAUUUCAUUAUUCCAUGCUAAUGUAUUCAAGCGUGAGCCUGCUUUAAACACUCUAAUUUUUUCAAAGUAACAGUCCUGAUUCCCCGCGACACCAAAUUAAUGACAUCACGGAUCUUCAGAAGGGAGAAACCAGUGACACCAGUGCAUACCAAAGGCAUGACCAGCGUACUGAUCCCGAAAUUCAACUACGAGCUUUUUAACUGCAACAACUUUAAUAUACGCUAUUGGAGCUGGAAUUACCGCGGCUGCUGGCACCAGACUUGCCCUCCAA